rnacentral:rRNA from 1 species
UACGGGGGGGGCAAGCGUUGUUCGGAAUUACUGGGCGUAAAGGGCGCGUAGGCGGUUUGCCAAGUCAGGGGUGAAAUCCUGCAGCUCAACUGUAGAAGUGCCUUUGAUACUGGCGAACUCGAGGGAGGUAGGGGUGGGUGGAACUUCUGGUGGAGCGGUGAAAUGCGUUGAUAUCAGAAGGAACGCCGGUGGCGAAAGCGACCGACUGGAGCUCUACUGACGCUGAGGCGCGAAAGCCAGGGGAGCAAACGGG